rnacentral:rRNA from 1 species
CGAAUGGCGUAAUGAUGGCCACACUGUCUCCUCCAGAGACUCAGCGAAGUUGAAAUGUUUGUGAUGAUGCAAUCUCCCCGCGGAAAGACGGAAAGACCCCAUGAACCUUUACUGUAGCUUUGUAUUGGACUUUGAACGGAUCUGUGUAGGAUAGGUGGGAGGCUUUGAAGCCAGGACGCUAGUUCUGGUGGAGCCGACGUUGAAAUACCACCCUGGUGCGUUUGAGGUUCUAACCUAGGUCCCUAAUCGGGAUCGGGGACAGUGCAUGGUAGGCAGUUUGACUGGGGCGGUCUCCUCCCAAAGCGUAACGGAGGAGUUCGAAGGUACGCUAGGUACGGUCGGACAUCGUGCUAAUAGUGCAAUGGCAUAAGCGUGCUUAACUGCGAGACUGACAAGUCGAGCAGAUGCGAAAGCAGGACAUAGUGAUCCGGUGGUUCUGUAUGGAAGGGCCAUCGCUCAACGGAUAAAAGGUACUCUGGGGAUAACAGGCUGAUACCGCCCAAGAGUUCAUAUCGACGGCGGUGUUUGGCACCUCGAUGUCGGCUCAUCUCAUCCUGGGGCUGUAGUCGGUCCCAAGGGUAUGGCUGUUCGCCAUUUAAAGAGGUACGUGAGCUGGGUUUAAAACGUCGUGAGACAGUUUUGUCCCUAUCUUCCGUGGGCGCUGCAGAUUUGAGGAAGCCUGCUCCUAGUACGAGAGGACCGGAGUGGACACACCUCUGGUGUACCUGUUGUCACGCCAGUGGCAUCGCAGGGUAGCUACGUGUGGAAGAGAUAACCGCUGAAAGCAUCUAAGCGGGAAACUCGUUUCAAGAUGAGAUCUGCCGGGGCCUUCGAGCCCCCUGAAGGGUCGUUGUAGACCACGACGUUGAUAGGCUGGGUGUGGAAGCGCAGUAAUGCGUUAAGCUAACCAGUACUAAUUGCCCGUGCGGCUUGACCCUAUAACUUUG